UACGUAGGGUGCGAGCGUUGUCCGGAAUUAUUGGGCGUAAAGGGCUCGUAGGCGGUCUGUCACGUCGGGAGUGAAAACUCAGGGCUUAACCCUGAGCCUGCUUCCGAUACGGGCAGACUAGAGGUAUGCAGGGGAGAACGGAAUUCCUGGUGUAGCGGUGAAAUGCGCAGAUAUCAGGAAGAACACCCGUGGCGAAAGCGGCUCUCUGGAACGGUACUGACGCUGAGACGCGAAAGCGUGGGGAGCGAACAGG
rnacentral:rRNA from 1 species